rnacentral:lncRNA from 1 species
AUGCCACUUCCAAAAUCGACCAACGGUCGGAUCCUACAACGAAAAAGCUUCCAAGUCUGACAAGGAGUCGUCGGUCGGAACCCACAACCGACCACCCCCUAUGACAACCUCACUCAUCGAAAAUACUCAAGGAAUCUGGACUGAGAAAAGUGACAAAAGGCGAUUUUCGCUCAAAAGCUGCUCUCUAAUAGGGCCGUCUUUCCAGAAAAGACAAAAUGCGGGAUGAGUACCUGGCUGACAGAGCCCUUUUAUAUAGAGGAAUG